rnacentral:misc_RNA from 1 species
GUCCGCGCUCGCGUCAAACAGCCGCCUGCGCCUGCGCCGCGCGCCCGUGCUUCGUGUUAUGUUCGCUAAACAUUAUGUCAACCACGUAACGGCGAGUGUUGGGCAAGAGUGAAGGUGAUAGUGUUGUGGUCGUGCGCAUCUUAUCUGCGAUGGCGGUGUGCGACAAGUGGGUCGCGCUCAAGAUUGUAGAGUUCUUGGCGUGCGUGGCUUGUCUGGUGGCUAAGCGAGUGUCUCAAGAUGACGAGGCUCGGCUGGCGCUGCUACUCCAGAAGCUGUCUCGCGAGUGGUCGCUGCUCACGUCCGUCACGUGGGACUCCGUGGGCGGCGCCUUCGCUGACGCCGUCUAUGGAGGUUACGUGAUAAUCACUUUCGGGUUGAUCCUGGCGCGGGUGUUCCAGGAGGUGCCGAAGGGGCGCCGCAUCCUCGAGAGCUUCUUCCUCGGGUUCGGCAUGCUCUUCUUCCUUGUACUCGGCGGCCUGGAGCUGGCGUCCCUGGACUCCGUGCCUCACAACCUGGUGACCAACGCGUCAGUCCUGGGCUCGCUCUCCCUCAUAGUCGCCGCCCUCUUCUUGGUGGACCUGAUGGGCCCGCGCACCUUCUACGCCGCGCACCACUCGCAGACAGACCCCACCGGCAUCAUCGCGUCGCCCAAGGCAGAGAAGAAAGUCUCCAUAGCCACCGCCACCACACAGAAUGGCAACGGACAUCUACCAAACGAAACAAAUAUAACAAAGACAGAUGAAACUAAAGCCAAAGCACAACCCACAAGACCGAAGGACCUCGAUCUAGAGAAGACCCACGACAUAUCGCCAAAGAAGGAAGAGUCCAGUCUGUUCGACUCCCCGCGACACGGAUAUAUAAAAUUCGACGAUGCCUUCGAACCUGAUUUAGAGAAGUCAAAGUACGGAUCGCUCCGGGCCGAUAUCGAAGGCGGCAAUUACAUCCGCCUGUCGGACCCGCUCUCCGAGUUGCAUUACGAACAGGAAUUAGCAAAAUUCAACGAGGAAUACUACAGAAAGUAUUUAGAACAAGUCGAAGGUAAAUACAAUGUCAAAGAGAAGUAUCUGCCAGAGUUACAAACGCCAGUUUUUGCUAAAGUAAAGACUGGGAGGUUGAAGGGUUUGUACGACGACCUGUCGCCGGGGUACGACCGGCAGAAGUCGCCGUCGAGAGCGAAGACCAUCCCCUCGCCGACGUUGCAGCAGUUGGAGGAUUAUCUGAAGGGCAGUAGAACGAGACGGUCGGAGACGCCAUUGUUCCCCAUGGAACCGAUAGUAGAGAAGGAGGGGACUGAUGUAGACCGGGCGUCGGGCACCCCGACAGACCCAGGGUACGUGCAGUACGCGGCCGGCAAGUGGCCCGACAAGAAGAACCUCCGGACACCCCGACACAGCCCCACAUAACAAAGUGCAAUGACUGACAACGAGUGACUAAGUGCGUGUUCAAAUGUGAUGACGAAACUAGCCAUUAAUUAGCGCCAUCUAUAUGAAGCGCGCGGUGAUUGCUUCUACGCCACAAUGCGCGAAA